CCUUCUCUCACAAUUUUCUUCCCCACAGCUCCAGCUGCGAUUUUGCUGAGUUUGCUGCCACCCCCUAAGAAAGACGUGAAGGGUCCAAGGAUUCCAAGGAUUGACCCCCCAGGCAAGGUAACAACUCACUUGAAGCUUUUGAAACUUCCUCAGAUGAACAAAUUUAUGCAGGCCUUUUUCUUCCUCACAGUUGUUUUCAGCUGAUGAAUUUCCAGCAUACAACAGGCGUUCUUAUUAAUUCCUAAAUGCAUGACCUUGCAUACUGAACUACUUCAAUUUCAUCCUAUUGCUCUUGCUCCAGUUCUCAAGGUGACACAUUCCUCCUGCACACUGAC
ensembl:lncRNA